rnacentral:rRNA from 1 species
UACGUAGGGGGCAAGCGUUGUCCGGAUUUAUUGGGCGUAAAGCGCUCGCAGGUGGUCCGUCGCGUCGUGCGUGAAAGGCCCCGGCUCAACUGGGGAGGGUCGUGCGAUACGGGCGGACUGGAGGCCAGUAGGGGGAUGCGGAAUUCCGGGUGUAGUGGUGGAAUGCGUAGAGAUCCGGAGGAACACCAGCGGCGAAGGCGGCAUCCUGGACUGGUCCUGACACUCAGGAGCGAAAGCGUGGGGAGCGAUCCGGAUUAGAAACCCGAGUAGUCC